AUGAAUAGCAUAAGACCAGACAUUGGCUUCAGGGCAGCAGCUGUGCCUGCCCAAUGAUUGCACUUCGUUUUGGUCUGAGGUUAAGAGAGAGAUUCACUUCCAAGCUUUGCACUUUCUCAUGCGUGCAGCCUGUCCAUAUGGCAGAUAACUGUGCCUUUAAAAAUCCAUAUCCACUUUCCUUUCCAUCUUCACAGUAAGUCAUCACUGAGUCCUGAUGGGCUUUUGCAAGUGGAAGAGAUCAAAUACGUACAAAUUGUUUCAACGUAGCAAGUGUGGGAGGGUGUCAGGUCUGCAGCAUUAUUGCUGCUCAGUGAUUCAAUUGGUGUGUAAUGCAUUUGCAAACACUCUACUUGCUGCCUGUGAGAAAUGGAUUGGUGGUCCCAGGCCAAGGGAAUAAGAGGUGGGUGUAAUAGUUAGAAAUAUUUUCCUGCCCGGUAGAUGGGAGGUGGAAUAGUUGUCUUCCCGGUAAGUUCUCUUGUACACAGAAGUAAAAAUCUUUAUAAAUCUCCCCAAAGUGUCCUGGGCAGUGAAUGAAGAUGGUUGGAAGUAGCAUGGCUUCUACCGAUAAGAGGGUGGUGAAAGAGUGAGACAGAACUAAAGCAGGAGAACCAUGUCAGGAAGAAAAACGUUUUUGACUUGGGAGGUUUGAGUGAGAAGGAGAGCAAACAGAGUCAGUGAGUGUGUUGUCCUUGCCCAUGUGGGCUGGCUCUUGCACCCUGACCGGGAUGGUAGUGCUAGCAUCUGGAGAAAAUGCUGUGUAUAUGGUUUCUCUCUCAGAGGGAGUUAAAAUGUAUCAAUAUAUUAACAGUAUAUUCGUGGGUGGUCCCAAUGCUCAAUAGUAGGAGAAAUCCAAGCAGAGAUAAUUAGUCACUGGAAAAUUUAGGGUUCCAAAUUCAAGCAGAAAAGCUGCAACCCCAGAUCUGCCAUGGUGAAGUUCCUGCGUAUAUGGUGGAGGGGAGGAAUGGUGUGUAUUCUCCCUGAAACCUUGGCUAUCCUUGAACAAGUUAAAAUGCCUGGAAAGAAGGAGCUACAGUAUUCCCUGGGUCUGCUGGUAUUUUGGAGAAAACAUAUCCCAAAUUUCUCAAUCAUGGCAAGUGCCCUUUAUGAUUUAACAUACCAGAGGACCAGCUGGGACUGGAGCCCUAUCCGUCAAGAAGGCCUACAAUUGUUAAUCUUUGAGGCUGGGUUAUAUCAGAUAUCAGGCUUUAGGUCCAAUACAUCUGACAGAUCCACUUCAAAAAAUCAUAGAAUCAUAGAAUGUUAAAGGGUUGGAAUGGACCUUAAAAUCAUCUAAUCCCAACCACCCCUGCUAUGUACAGGGACACUUCCCACUAGACCAGGUUUCUCAAGGCCUUAUACAACCUGGCUUUGAACACUGCCAGGGUUGGGGCACUGGUAUGUGCAAUUAUAUCAUUAGUGCCAUGUGCUUCAGGUAGAGGAGGGAGCACAUGAAGUGCUCCAAAUACAAGAACCACCUGGCAAUCAACUGGGCCAGGAGCUUCCCCCAUCAUAUAUGAAACCAACCUCGCAAUUUGAGCCCCAUGUGAAAAAUGUAUGGUUCACUGAUGCAUCCUCCAAAGGAGAGGAGGAUACUGAGGGGGAGCCCUGUGUGUUUUUUGAGCAAGCUGAAUUGUGAUGAUGCUCAGAUGGGAAAAUUGGUAGCCAUGUGCAGUGUGGUUUUUAGAGAGGCUGAAACUAAAAACAACAGUGUUUAUUUAUAUGGACUCCUAUGCUGCUUUUAAGGGGUGCACUGGAUGGCUCCUGUUUUGCGAACAAACCCGUGGGAGGUCAAUCGGGUCCCCAGUGUGCCAGCAAGAGAAGUGGGACGACAUCCUAAACACAGCUAAGCAGAAGUCUCUUGGUGGGAUGGAUUGCUACUCACCAGAAGAGGGAUCACCUCCUGAAUAAUCAGAUUAUCUGAAAUCCACUGCUGGAGCUACGCUUUCAACUGUUGAGUGGAUGGACCAUUUUGCAUAUUUUUAGUUUGAUUUUACUAAGCCUAUUUUGCCUUUUUACUAGAGAAAAAUGGUGUGGGAAAAGUUUUUAUUCUUAUUUUAUGGGUGUACAAUUUUGUCUCAAUUGAUUGAGAAUGAGGAUACUCAGCCAAAUUUAGCUUGGGAGUUGAUACAAGGAUUUAUGCAUAUUUGGAACCACACGAAUCAAGGAAUAUGUAUUAACCUCCCCAACUCUGCAUCAGAGGGGCUUAGAUUUAUGAUGAUUUGGUUAAAUUUUUCAGAAAUAUUAACAAGAGAACUAGAUAACCUUAAAAAAACAGGAGGAAAUGUUACCUGGGGAAUGGUCGAGUCCCCCUUUCUAGACCAGAAGGAAGGACAACAAUGGGCUGCAAAUGGGACAUGGGUAGAAUACAAGAAAGCCUUUUACCACCUCCCACACAACUCUACCUGGAACCAUUUAUGGAAUCAGACAUGUUAUCGAUCAUUAGACGCUAACCCUACUGAGACAUUGCAAAAUGUCACUUCUAUCCCUUGCACGAUUGUACCAUGGUGGGAUUCUCCUGCUGAGGGUGGGUUUUUCGAACAUGAGUACAAUUUACAUUGGGAUGCAGGAUGGUGUAUACAGAUCCCCAGUAACCCAGGAACCCCACACCAAGUUAACCAAACAAAUUAUGAAUGGGCUUGGUCUCUGA